rnacentral:rRNA from 1 species
GACGAACGCUGGCGGCGUGCUUAACACAUGCAAGUCGAACGGAAAGGCCCUGCUUUUGUGGCGUGCUCGAGUGGCGAACGGGUGAGUAACACGUGAGUAACCUGCCCUUGACUUUGGGAUAACUUCAGGAAACUGGGGCUAAUACCGGAUAGGAGCUCCUGCUGCCUGGUGGGGGUUGGAAAGUUUCGGCGGUUGGGGAUGGACUCGCGGCUUAUCAGCUUGUUGGUGGGGUAGUGGCUUACCAAGGCUUUGACGGGAAGCCGGCCUGGGAGGGGGACCGGCCACAAUGGGACGGCGAUACGGCCCAGACUCCUACGGGAGGCAGCAGUGGGGAAUAAUGCACAAUGGGCGGAAGCCGGAUGCAGCAACGCCGCGGGCGGGAUGACGGCCUUCGGGUUGUAAACCGCUUCCGCCUGUGACGAAGCGUGAGUGACGGUAAUUGGUAAAGAAGCACCGGCUAACUACGUG